CCCGCACAAGCAGUGGAGUAUGUGGUUUAAUUCGACGCAACGCGAAGACCUUACCAGGGUUUGACAUCCCUUGACGAUCGCAGAGAUGCGAGUUCCCUUCGGGGACAAGGAGACAGGUGGUGCAUGGUUGUCGUCAGCUCGUGUCGUGAGAUGUUGGGUUAAGUCCCGCAACGAGCGCAACCCCCUGUUGCCAGUUGCCAUCAUUCAGUUGGGCACUCUGGCGAGACUGCCGUUGACAAAACGGAGGAAGGUGGGACGACGUCAAAUCAUCAUGCCCCUUAUAUCCUGGGCUACACACGUACUACAAUGGCCGCAACAGAGGGCAGCCAGGCCGCGAGGUCGAGCGAAUCCCCAAAAGCGGUCUCAGUUCGGAUUGCAGGCUGCAACUCGCCUGCAUGAAGUCGGAAUUGCUAGUAAUGGCAGGUCAGCAUACUGCCGUGAAUACGUUCCCGGGCCUU
rnacentral:rRNA from 1 species